GACGAACGCUGGCGGCGUGCCUAAUACAUGCAAGUAGAACGCUGAAGGAGGAGCUUGCUUCUCUGGAUGAGUUGCGAACGGGUGAAUAACGCGUAGGUAACCUGCCUGGUAGCGGGGGAUAACUAUUGGAAACGAUAGCUAAUACCGCAUAAUAGUAGAUGUUGCAUGACAUUUGCUUAAAAGGUGCAAUUGCAUCACUACCAGAUGGACCUGCGUUGUAUUAGCUAGUUGGUGAGGUAACGGCUCACCAAGGCGACGAUACAUAGCCGACCUGAGAGGGUGAUCGGCCACACUGGGACUGAGACACGGCCCAGACUCCUACGGGAGGCAGCAGUAGGGAAUCUUCGGCAAUGGACGGAAGUCUGACCGAGCAACGCCGCGUGAGUGAAGAAGGUUUUCGGAUCGUAAAGCUCUGUUGUAAGAGAAGAACGAGUGUGAGAGUGGAAAGUUCACACUGUGACGGUAUCUUACCAGAAAGGGACGGCUAACUACGUG
rnacentral:rRNA from 1 species